rnacentral:tRNA from 1 species
AUCAGAGUGGCGCAGCGGAAGUAUGGUGGGCCCAUAACCCACAGGUCUCAGGAUCGAAACCUGGCUCUGAUA